AUAAACUCACUAGGGGGGACCAGAAGGGUUUGGGGGAGACCUUGUUUCCCCUAGCGCCCCCUGGGAUAACAAGGAAUAACGGCCACAAGUUGUUGGAGAGUAGGUUUAGAUUAGACUUCCAUAAGAACUACUUCACAGUUAGGGUGGCUAGGAUCUGGAACCAACUUCCAAGGGAAGUGAUGCUGACUCCUACCCUGGGGGUCUUUAAGAAGCGGCUUGAUGCCUACCUGGCUGGGGGGGUCGGACUUGAAGAUGUACAAGGUCCCUUCCGAACCUACUUCUAUUUUUCUAUGAUUCUAUGAACUCAUAACAGAAAGGAUGGACAAAGCUGAGCUCUUAAAUGAUUUCUUUGCAUCUGUGUUCCUGGUCAUGGAUACAAACACACCUCCAAAUGAGACUUUAGUCUGGCUUGAGAGAGAUACCAAUCCAGCAGCGGUUAGCGCUGACCUGGUAAAGGGGCACUUGGAGGGGUUGCAUGUAUUUAAGUUGGCAGGCCCUGAUUAUCUUCACCCAAGCGUACUAAAGGAAUUAGCCAGUGUCAUAGUGAAACCAUGGGCGCAACAGUCAGGUGGGUGGAAAACUGGCUUAUGGGACAAACCCAGAGAGUGGUGGUGGCUGGGUCAGAUUUUACCUGAGAGAUUUGAGCAGUGGUGUCCCCCAAGAUUCUGGCCUUGGACCAGUACUGUCCAAUAUCUUGACUAGCGAUCUGGAUGAGGAUGUAGAAGGCACUCUGUCCAAACUCACAGAUGACACUAAACUAUGGGGUAUGGUAAACACACUAGGGGGUAGGGAGUAAAUUCAGGUGGAUUUGAAUAGACUGGGGAAGUGGGCAGAUCAGAAUCAGAUGUAAUUUAACAAAGAUAAGUGCAAAGUGCUGCACCUGGGGAGAAAAAAAUUAUCAAUACACCUAUAGACUGGGAAGUACCAUUGUAUGUAGCACAGAAGUGGAAAGGGAUCUUAGUUAUAGUCAAUGCAAAAAUUAACAUGAGUUGCCAAUGUGAUGAGGUAGUAAGUUUUGCAUUAGCAGGUGCAUCAUGAGCAGGUCUAGGGAGGUGAUACAUCCCCUUUAUGCAGCAUUGGUUAGGCUGCAGCUGGAGUACUGUAUCCAAUUUUGGAUGCCACACUUCAAGAGGAAUGUGGAUAACCUGGAAAGAGUUCAGAGGAGGGCUACUUGCAUGGUUGAGGGCCUUCAGGUAAGAUCCUAUGAAGACAGACUGCGGGACCUGAAUCUCUCCAGCCUCUGGGAGAGAAGGCUGAGAGGUGAUCUUGUGUCUGUCUACAAACUCAUCGGGCCGGGGGCGGGGGGGGGGGGGGCAGCAGGGAAUAGGGGAUACUCUGUUUACCCAAGUACCGCUCGGGGUUACUAGAAACAAUGGCCAUAAACUGAAGGAGACUAGAUCUAGAUUGGACAUGAGGAAGAAAUUCUUUAUGGUGAGGGUUGCCAAAAUAUGGAAUGGACUUCCAAGGGAGGUGGUGCUUUCCCCGACCUUGGAGGUGUUCAAGGGGAGAUUAUACAAGCACCUGGCUGGGGUCACUUGAUCCCAGCACUCUUUCCUGCCCAGAGCAGGGGGUCAGACUUGAUGAUCUAAUAGGUCCCUUCUGACCCUAGAAAUCUAUGAAAUCUAUGAAAAGAAGGGGAGAGCAAGAACUCUAUGUAAGUGUGUCAAACUGAAAAGCAAUUUGAGUAAGAUUAAAUUUCCUACUUUUAAAAACUCAAAUACACUUUAUUAUCAGGCCAUAUCAGUCAUAUCUGUCUGAUUUUUGGCAAUUACCAAGAUGUUUUGGCAGAGAUGUCCUGUAUAUACUUCUUAAGCUAUUUUUCCUUGUAAAUGCAUGCUUUUGUCAGUAGGCUUCAAACAGAAAGAAUUUUAGGGGAAAAUCAAAGUAUUUCAACCUUUUAAGCAAAGUAGUAGUAAGUAGUAAUAGUAGUGAUAAUAAUAAAAACCAAUUUAUUUUAUGCUGUCUUCCCCAGUCCUGGCAGUUGGACAGAAUCAGACUCAUUUUUACCUCCUCCAAAUACCUUCUUACCUCUUAUCUUUUCCUCUCUUGUCAGUUCCUCACUUUCCAGUAACUGUAGCCUGAAAUUUUGUUUAUUUUUAAACUUUUCCUUACAUAGCCACAUGCCAUUCCAUUCUCCCUCUUCAGCUGCUGAAGUGGCCCGGGCUGAGUGGUGCUGGGCCCCAGGUGACAGCUGCAGUGGCCCCAGCUGCCCAACAGUGUGAGGCACCUGCACAAUGUGGCAGUGGCAGUGCAGGUGCCAGGCAGCUGGGGCCAGUCCCCACUGUCCUCUGCUGCCCUGUACUGUGUUGGGGGGCUCUGCCAUGAGGCUCCAGUGAUCCCAAUGGAAAGUGCUACUACUGCAAUACACUUGUCAAAUAUGAUGGGUGCCCUAGAAAAAGGAAGAAAGAAAAAGAGAGACUUCUGAAUAUUUAUCUGGAGUGCACACUUUAGGGAGAGAGGACUCCUGGGAAGGGACAGCAUCUAUCUCACAAGGAAAGACAUCUCCUGGGAGGAACACUUGGCCAAGUUGGAUUGAUCCUGAUGCUUCCUGACCUGUGGUGAUGAGCUAUUCCUGACUCAGGAGGUGCAUUGGCCAACCAGAGGUGAUGCUGUGCUACACUUGGUCCUGGCCAAAGGAGAUGACCUGGUGACUGACCCAUCUAUAUUUAAAUAUAGAGGGAAAUCUGGGCAACAGUGACCAUGAAAUCAUCAUGUUCACUGUCUGACACAAGGAAGACAAGUCUGAUAGCAGGAUUGAAGUGUUGGACUUCAAAAAUGCAAAAUUCAACAAACUUAGGUCACCAAUAGGGUAAGUGCUGCAGGAUCAGGGACUGAAGGCAAAAGAUGUGCAUGACGAGUGGUUGUUCCUUAAAGACACAAUCCUUGAAGCACAAAGGAAGUCCAUUCCCAUGUGGAGAAAAGGUAACAGAAGGGGCAGUAAGCCCUCUUGGCUAAACUGGGAAAUUGCGGUCCUCUUACAAAAGAAGAAAGAGACAUAAACAAUGGAAGCUUGGGGCAGGUGAGAAACAAUGGGGCGGGCUCCAAGGAGGACGAUUCCAUGAUGAUCCUCAUUUGCAGGGAACAGAUAAGAAAGGCUUAAGCAGUGACCUAACUUAGAUUAGCAAUGGGAAUCAAGGAAAACUAGAAAUCCUUCUUAGGUACAUAGGGAACAGGAGGGAAACAAAUGGGAGUGUGGGACCAUUGCUCAACAACUCAGGAGAGCUGGUUACCAGCACCCAGGAGAAAUCUGAAGUCCUGAAUGACGACUUUGCCUCAGUCCUUCACUGGAUCAAGGGGAAAACAAUGCCAGGUAGAGUAUAAGAUGUGCAUGGUAGGAAUAAUCACCUUCCUACUAUUGCCAUAGAAUUGGAAUAUGAUGAAUUUAAGCAAAUAGAUAUAUGCAAGUUAGUGGGAUGAGAUGAUCUUCAUCCGAGAGUACUGAAGGAGCUGGCCAAAGUCAUUGUGGAGCCCCUGGCAAAACUCUUCCACAACUCGUAGCACUCUUGAGAAGUCCCUGAGGACUGGAAGAGGGCCAAUGUUGUGCCUAUCCACAAGAAAGGCAGGAGGGAGGACCCGGGUAACUAAAGGCCAAUUAGCUUAACUUCCAUCCUAGGGAAAAUCCUAGAAGAGUUAAUCAAGGAGUCUAUGUGCAAUAAGCUUGCAGAAGGUAAGAUUCUGAAUGACAGCCAGCAUGGCUUCAUUUCAGGCAGGUUUUGCCUUAUCAACCUCAUCUCCUUCUAUGACCAGGGAACUCACCACCUGGACACAAGAGAAUAAGUUGAUAUUGUAUACCUAGACUUCCAAAAGGCCUUUGAUCUACUAUUCCACGAUGUCCUCAUGAGAAAAUUGGAGGAUUGUGGGCUUAAUUCUGAGACAGUCAGGUGGGUGAGAAAUUGGCUGCAGGAUAGGACCCAGAGAGUUGUAGUGAAUGGAUCUGUGUCAUCCUAGCAAGAAGUGGGCAGUGGUGUCCUGCAAGGGUCAGUGCUUGGUCCAGUACUUUUCAACAUCUUUAUUAAUUAUUUGUAUGUGGGGGUGAAGAGCUCACUGGCCAAUUUCACAGAUGACAAGUUAUGGGGAAGCAUGGUCAUGCUUGAAGAUAGGCUAUAGAUGCAGGUAGAUCUAGACAGGCUAGCAAGUUGGGCAGAUUAGAACCUGAUGAAGUUCAAUGUCGAGAAAUGUAAAGUGCUCCACCUUGGCACAAGCAAUCCCCAACACACCUAUGGGUGUGGCAGCACCAAACUGACUAGCACUGCAAAUGAAAGGGACCUUGGGGUAAUAAUAGACCACAGUAUGAAUAUAAGCUGGCAGUGUGAUGCUGUAGCCAGUAGGGCAAAUAAUACUCUGGCAUAUAUCAAUUGAUGCAUCUCCAGCAAAACCAAGGAGGUGAUUCUUUUGCUGUACUCAGCACUGGUGAGACCGCAGCUGGAGUAAUGCAUCCAGUUCUGGGCACCACAGUUUAACAAGGACAUGGACAAGCCAGAGACAGCCCAAAGAAAAAGCACCAGUAUGAUCAGAGUCUUACAUGGCAAACUAUAUGAGGAAAGGGUGAGGGAUAUGGAACUCUUCAGCCUGAUAAAAGAGGCUGAGGGGGGACCUGGUAGCAGCUUACUACUACACUAGGGGAAUAUGUCAAGGGAUUGAUGAGCAACUGAUCACCAGGGUACCCAAGGGAAAAAAAACUAGAAGUAAUGGCCACAAAUUCAUGGAAGACUGAUUCAGACUCAACAUUAGGAAA